rnacentral:misc_RNA from 1 species
UAAUAAGUGUUUUAUGGCACUUUUUAAAUCCAUAUCCACCUUGUGUGCAAUGUCAGUCGAUCUUCUUCAUGGAGAUCGACCAAACAUCAACCUUUAUUUUUUAACUCUUUGUCCGAAAAAUAUUAUGAAUAAACAAUUCAAAAUA